UAUAUUUAUCCAAUUGCACAUAUAUCCAAUUCACACAUCGAACAGCUAUAUAUACAGAUUACGAAAGCAUAGAAUAGAACAAAGGUAAGCACUAGAAUUAUCCACAUGGGUAAUUACAUAUAAUUCUAAUUUGUCUAACUUUCAGUGACAGCAGCAAACGUUUUCGCGAAGAAUAUUUUUGGCACAUUUUAAAUGCCGCGUAUAUCUAUAUACGAUCUGCGCGAAUUCUCAUACAGCGCGCAUUUAAAUAGUCCAGGGCGCGAAAUAACGGCCGGUCAAGGGAUAAUGUCCGGCCAGAAUGCGGAGUUGUCAAAUUCUUACCUUGCCGGUCAUUUUGACCCGUCACUUUCGGUAAAAGAACAAACGAAUCUUCAUUUGAAUUAAUACUCAAAAUAAAGUUGUCAAGUAUUAUAAAAAUAAUUAUAAUUACUGUCGAUGCAAUAGAAGUGUUGAUAAAAUAUUGCAUGAAUUCAUUUCCUCAAGUUGAUCAAUUCAUACGAAUUCAAAUUUCUUUUUACUUCCUGUGCGUUUCCUAUAUUAUAUUGGUCAAUCGGUUCUGAAAUGAAAUCUAAUUGGCUCAUCUAAAAGUAACAGGAAGUUGAUCAAUUUUCUAUCAAAUGAAUUGAUCAACUUGAAGAAAGGAAUUGGUGCAAUAUUUUAUCAACACUUCCAUUGCAUCGACAGCAGGUCAGAACCGAGUUUGACUAAUGGUCGCGGGUCGCGUGUCGCGGGUAAAAAGUCGCGUGUCGCGGGUAGAAUGUCGCGGGUCGCGGGUAAAAUGUCGCGGGUAAAAAGUCGCGGGUCCCAAAAGCUCCAAACCGUGUAUUUUAUCGAGUCGCGGGUUGAAUAAAGUGUGUAAAAAUCACGUUAUCAUUUAGUAAACAACCAUAUAGGAUUGCUUCAAUACGAAAUAUUGCCCAAGAGCCUUUUGUCAUGAUUUAAUGAGUUUGAUUAAUGGUCGCGGGUAAAAAGUCGCGUGUCGCGUGUAGAAUGUCGCGGGUAAAAUGUCGCGGGUCGUAAAAAAGCUCCAAACUGUGUAUUUUAUCGAGUCGCGGGUUGAAUAAAGUGUGUAAAAAUCACGUUAUCAUUUAGUAAACAACCAUAUAGGAUUGCUUCAAUACGAAAUAUUGCCCAAGAGCAUUUUGUCAUGAUUUAAUGGUUC